AGUGCUGUAAGCGGCGGUCCCGACAGCGUCCCGCUGUCCGCGGGGCUCUGGGCUGCCUCUCUGGCGGCGCACACAGCGGGCCGUGGCGCGGGAGGAGAUGGGGGGAGCGGGGCCGUCCUAACGGGGUACCGCGGUGUUGGCUACCCGGCCUCACCCCGCAGCUGUUCUACAGAGCGCUGUGAUCAUUUAUAAUGCGUGUAAACGGGGUUGGUUAGAAAUCUCUUUAAUCUCCGUUUAUUAAAGCACAGCCCUUCCCAACUAGACCGAGUAAUGGGCACGUAGGGAAUGAGUUCUGGAAUUUCACAAUGGAAUUCCUAAAUAGCAAAUGCAUAAUAAUGCUAUGGGAGUUUGCAUGCACUCUUCUAAUUAGGAAGCUUUCUAAAAUCGCAUCCUUUUGAAGUUUGGAAACCUCUAUGUUUCCGGCCUAAAUGUAUUCCCACUCAUUUCAUACCCAUUUGUUCUGGUGCCACUUCUCUUCUUUGGCUUCGGUAGCCCUCCUCUCUGCUUGUUUACCCCCCACUUCAUUUCUAGAAAGCAGCCGUACCCCUUCGUUUUACUGGGCUGAUAAUCCCAGCCGCCUCCAUUCUCCAGCACUGAGGUACAGGACUGCCCCGUGGCCCUAAGCUGUAUGGACUAAGGUAGCUGUAGGACUAAGCUGUAUGAACCGGGUUGGAGUCUGGGGAAGGCAGACAGCAGGAAUGUCGGAUAACGCACAGGCUGUGAAGCGCUCCUCAGCACGAGACUUUCCAAUGACUGUUACUGCAAAACGUCCAUCAUUAAGCAACCAAGCUACCCAUUGCCACUGAAGCCUCUUGGCUUUGCAACUUCUCACCAUGAAUUCUCGUAGUCCUGGAGCCUGGAAUAUUGGAGAGGAGUGAAAGAAACACUCAGAAAGCAGAAGAGUACCGACGGGCUCAGUCUGUAAGGAAUUGGCUCCAUUCUGCUACUGAUUUCUUUUUCUAGUUACAAAUAUAGUAAAAAAGAGUAUCCUGAAAUGAGCAGCUCAAGCAUGGUGAUUCCAGGCUUUAAUUUUUCUCCCCCUUCUGUAAGUGUCUCUAUUGAGAAGCCCCAGCCCUGUAUCUGGCUGAACUCUAGGAACCUUUCAGGAAUUUGAGACGGUUUUCUUUCAGAGCCAGAAGUUACAGAGCAGCAACUUUAAAGAAGACAGUGCCUGUGCCCAGGUUGCUGCAUUCUGCACUCAAUGCUAUUUACAUUUCUGUUGCUAAGAUCUCCGCUUCUGAGCAAAGGCUGCACCGUAUUUUGUAAGUUGACCGCAGCCCGUGUAGAUAAGGAAAACACAUUCCACCUUUGUAAAGAAGCUGCUUUUGUUGGUUUUGUUUCUUUGCUCUGAAAGGAAAGUGCCACGGGGAGUUCAGGCUUCCAGAUGGGCAGUUUUCAUGUUUCAGCUCAGUUGCAAGUUGCAUCGGGGAACCUUUUGAAAAACAGAAAUACAUAUAGAAGAGGGGCAGAGAAAAUGACUGCCCUGUCAUCUCUUCACCUUUUAUUGCAAGGGAUUACAAAAAAUAAUGUAGUGUUUGGUUUCUUUGGCCUUUCACAGGCGUCUUUACAAAAGUUUGCACAUCUGAAACACAGAGGGACCAUAUGUCACCUCUCGCUGCCCGGCACAUCCACUGUUGAGGUUUUGAGGUCUACAUUGUCUGCCAACAGCAGGCACCGGCAAAAGGCUUUUCCCCAAUGUAAUCCAUAGUCAGACAUGCAAGCCCGGCCCUAAAAGCAUUGCUCUUUGCUGUAGUGUAGCGUGAUGUAUUUCAAAAAUAAGUGUUUUUUACAAGUUAAUAUCUCCAAAGAGAAAAAUAAAAGUGUUUAUUGAGUGCUGUGGUUUGCCUUCACCUUGCAUUAACGAUCUCCUUGCGGUACAGAAAGCUGCCAAAUUUGACCUUUCCUAAGAAAGACACAAAAGAGGGCACAGCAGCAAUUCAGCUAAACAAAAUGUGUGCAAACUGCUUCCUGGUACACCCACGUGCUGGCCCCACUGCAAAGUAAUUAAAAUUGUCAAGAGAGAUUUUGACCAGUUAAGUUCUUCCAGGAAUGGUACAGCUCGUUCUGAACUCUCAGUUCACAGAACGCUCACUUUCUGGCUUACUGAAGUAGUCCCAGAGUUCGUGUUAUAAAAUAGCAGAAAUUGCUAGAAGGUUUGGGCUGACUGGAUGGGAACUGGCCAGACUAACUGCUGCAAAAUGGUGUUCCUUCUUGUUUAAAAAUAUACAUAUAGCCUGAAAGUAGUACGGAUGGAGCACACCAGAUGAUGUCCUGCCUCAGAAACAGCCAGCAGAGGAGAGGACCAGAGAGCCACUGGUUGGACUGCUGCUACUUGGAUAGAGCCCUGAAAAAACCCUCAGCACGGACACACGUCGGCUUCUGGGUUAGCAGGGAAAUAGGCACAGAGAAGUCAGUGGUGGAGUGUCAGCCCCACUGAUCAUAGCCUGAGUUAAAAAAUGGUAAUAUAGCAUUGUAGUGCAUUCACACUGCUAUCCUACCUGUGCCUAUCUCGCUCAGCCACAAAGGGACAACACACUGAGGACAGGGUGGCUCAUCGCUUCAUCUCUCCAGUGACACCAACAACGAGGCUACCAAUUAGUCCCAGUUUUAAUGUGGCUUUUAUCUGAUCUGAACUCUCCAUUCUUACAGCAUCCCUCUAAUGAGCUGCCCACAGCUCAUGAAAUUUGCUUAUUAUCUAAGAAUCUUAGCUUUUAUGUAUUGUUGUUAUGAGCGGCGGUAGUACUGAUGAUAAGAAUAAUUAUGAUGUUUAGUUGUAAGAGUUGUGGGGACUUGGAAAUAUGAAAGUAAAAAAAAAAAGCAAAAAAA